UAGUUGGUAGCUCAGUGGUUGAGUGCAUGCUUUGUGCCUAUGAUCUCCUGGGUUCACUCCCCAGCUGGUCAA
rnacentral:tRNA from 1 species